UAAUGAAAGUAGCUUGGUACUGUGCACAGAGAUUGAAUCUUUCGAUGGAACGACAUGUCUGCUCUCUCGGAGCUUGGCUUUGAUGUGUGGGCCUGGUUUAGUUCUACAUUU